AGAGUGAACGCUGGCGGCAGGCCUAACACAUGCAAGUCGAACGGCAGCACAGAGGAGCUUGCUCCUUAGGUGGCGAGUGGCGGACGGGUGAGGAAUACGUCGGAAUCUGCCUAUUUGUGGGGGAUAACGUAGGGAAACUUACGCUAAUACCGCAUACGACCUACGGGUGAAAGCGGAGGACCUUCGGGCUUCGCGCAGAUAGAUGAGCCGACGUCGGAUUAGCUUGUGGCGGGGUAAAGGCCCACCAAGGCGACGAUCCGUAGCUGGUCUGAGAGGAUGAUCAGCCACACUGGAACUGAGACACGGUCCAGACUCCUACGGGAGGCAGCAGUGGGGAAUAUUGGACAAUGGGCGCAAGCCUGAUCCAGCCAUGCCGCGUGUGUGAAGAAGGCCUUCGGGUUGUAAAGCACUUUUUGUUGGGAAGAAAAGCACUGGAUUAAUACCUCGGUGUUCUGACGGUACCAAAGAAUAAGCACCGGCUAACUCGUGCCAGCAGCCGUACG
rnacentral:rRNA from 1 species